GAUGAGCGCUGGCGGCGUGCCUAAUACAUGCAAGUCGAGCGGUAAGGCCCCUUCGGGGAUACACGAGCGGCGGACGGCUGAGUAACACGUAGGAACGUACCCCAAAGUGAGGGAUAACAGCUCGAAAGAGUAGCUAAUACCGCAUGUGAUCCACGGAUUAAAGCUUUAUGCGCUUUGGGAACGGCCUGCGUCCGAUUAGCUUGUUGGUGAGGUAAUAGCUCACCAAGGCGAUGAUCGGUAGCUGGUCUGAGAGGAUGAUCAGCCAGACUGGGACUGAGACACGGCCCAGACUCCUACGGGAGGCAGCAGUAGGGAAUUUUCCACAAUGGGCGAAAGCCUGAUGGAGCAACGCCGCGUGCAGGAUGAAUGCCUUCGGGUUGUAAACUGCUUUUAAUAGUGACGAUUAUGACGGUAACUAUUGAAUAAGGACCUGCUAACUACGUGCCAGCCGCCGCAGUAA
rnacentral:rRNA from 1 species